AGAUUGUAUUGAAUCUGUAUGUGUGUGUGUGUGUGUGGGUGGGUGUUUGGUCCCGCUUCCACACACAGGCACAAAGAGUGAAUGACUGACAAAGAGUGCACUGUUCAUUUAAUUCCGCCACAAAUACGCUCAGCUGCUGAGAUUGAUGAAGAGAGUGAACUAUGUAGCCUGUUUGCAAGCAACAGACAAAACUAACAUGGACAAGGCAAUUGCAUAUAUCUUUCCAUAAAUUACCUCCACCGGGUUUGUUUUCAAUUUUUUAAUUGGCAACAUAAAGCAAAAAGGUUUGCGCUAAUUUUAAUGAAACAUUCAGGAUAUGUCAGAAAUUGAAUAAAAAACAUGUGAUUACAUUUUGGUGCUGGUCUAGAUCACUCUCGUCUUUCAGGAUUGUUAUUGAUGGACACCUGGUAGAGGUCUGUGCUCUCGAGUGCAUUUGUAGUUUUGUAGGACUACUUCCAGAUGCUUCCUGCAUGUCUGCUCUCGGAAAAUGGCCCAUUCUUCCUAGGCGAAACACUCAAGCUGGGUCAUGUUUGGUUUCUUCGCCUUCAAGCUGGUCUUCAACUCUUGCCACAAGUUCGGAUCCAGCAUGGCGUCAUGUAUGGUUGGGUAGAACAUGGAAGUCGGAAUGUCAUCGUCAAAGAACAAGCAGCUGUGGAGUUUCUCCAAUAUGCACGCUGUGAACACAGUCAGAGCUGAGAUAUCCAGAAAAGAGACUGCAGAAAAAUCCAAGAUCAGGCUGUGGAGAUCCACUCUGGGAACACUGAUGUUGGCAGGAAGCUCUGCGUUCCAGUCCACAUGGAACGGAAGGUCUUUGGGGUACAUGUUUUUCUAAAAUUAGAAGAACAGAAGAGUACUCAAGAAAAAGUAAGGGAUUUCUCUGAACUGCACCAGCAUGCCCUUCAGGUUGACGAUGACCAAGGCACCGAGGACGGACUACAAAUGAUCAAAACAGUUUUUAAUUUUUUAAAGUAGGUCCUUAAAAACAACAGACCACUCCUGUCACAUCAAUCA